GUGGGGAAUAUUGGACAAUGGGCGCAAGCCUGAUCCAGCCAUGCCGCGUGUGUGAAGAAGGCCUUCGGGUUGUAAAGCACUUUUGUUGGGGAAGAAAACCUGUUGGUUAAUACCCGAUGGGAAUGACGGUACCCAAAGAAUAAGCACCGGCUAACUUCGUGCCAGCAGCCGCGGUAAUACGAAGGGUGCAAGCGUUACUCGGAAUUACUGGGCGUAAAGCGUGCGUAGGUGGUUCGUUAAGUCUGCCGUGAAAGCCCCGGGCUCAACCUGGGAAUUGCGGUGGAUACUGGCGGACUAGAGUGCGGUAGAGGGUGGUGGAAUUCCCGGUGUAGCAGUGAAAUGCGUAGAGAUCGGGAGGAACAUCUGUGGCGAAGGCGGCCACCUGGACCAGCACUGACACUGAGGCACGAAAGCGUGGGGAGCAAACAGGAUUAGAAACCCCAGUAGUCC
rnacentral:rRNA from 1 species